rnacentral:tRNA from 1 species
GGGCUUAUAGCUCAGUUGGUAGAGCGCUGCGUUCGCAAUGCAGAGGCCAGGGGUUCGAAUCCCCUUAAGUCCACCA